GGCCUUGACAUACUAAGAACUUUCCAGAGAUGGAUUGGUGCCUUCGGGAACUUAGAUACAGGUGCUGCAUGGCUGUCGUCAGCUCGUGUCGUGAGAUGUUGGGUUAAGUCCCGNAACGAGCGCAACCCUUUUCCUAUUUGCCAGCGGGUCAUGCCGGGAACUUUAAGGAUACUGCCAGUGACAAACUGGAGGAAGGCGGGGACGACGUCAAGUCAUCAUGGCCCUUACGGCCAGGGCUACACACGUGCUACAAUGGUCGGUACAAAGGGUUGCUACCUCGCGAGAGGAUGCUAAUCUCAAAAAGCCGAUCGUAGUCCGGAUCGCAGUCUGCAACUCGACUGCGUGAAGUCGGAAUCGCUAGUAAUCGCGGAUCAGAAUGCCGCGGUGAAUACGUUCCCGGGCCUUGUACACACCGCCCGUCACACCAUGGGAGUUUGUUGCACCAGAAGUAGGUAGUCUAACCGCAAGGAGGACGCUUACCACGGUGUGGCCGAUGACUGGGGUGGAAGUCGUAACAAGGUAGGCGUAGAUGA
rnacentral:rRNA from 1 species